UGCAUUUUGCGGGAGUGGAGAGUUGUCGUAGCUGGUGCUGUUUCCUUUCGGUCACAUCUAACUGUGCGAGUCCGCUGCCGCCACCUUAUUUCGGUGGUUAGCCUCUUACUCCAUCGCCCGGGGAACAGCGAAAGAGAGUUGGGGUUGCAAGUAGUGAUACCAUUUUCAUUUUCUACUUCCUGUUCUCUUCUCUCAUGUCAUCCAUUUACGAGCCGAACUGUUGUGGCUCUAUCUUCUUGUUCUUUUUACCGCGGGUAUCGCUCCAAAAUUAGUUCACUCAGACUUGGGUUUCCAAAGCACAAAUCCUCACUUACUUGUAGUCUACCUUGAAUAUAAGUUCGAUAAAACGGAUUUUUGCUGUUAAACAGGAGCUAAAUCUGGAACGAACUGAGAUUUUACUGUUCACUGCUUUAAUGCUAGAUCUUUUUGGUUGGUUCCCAAAAGAAAUUGCAGCUUCGAAGUGACGAAUCUGUGGGGGCAAAGAGGGGCUCCCCCCCCCCCCUCCCAAAAAAAAAAAAAAGAAAACUUUAAUACCCCUUUGGGAAAAAAAUAAUUUCUUACUUGUAAAAAACGUUAAAUUAGAUUUUGGCCCCCUCACUUUAUGUCUGAAUUUCAAAUUGGCCCCCCACCCCAAAAUUAGUAGCUCCUGGAUUCGUCACUGGUUUUGAAACUAGUGUGUUGGAAUUCUCUUCUAUAUAAAAAAGAAUCGUCUUCUAUAGGUUUUAUUUCUUUUAUAAUAUAUGUACAUCAAAUGAUUCAAUGAUAGGUUUGAUGCUAAAAAUAUUGGAGAACAUAAAUAAUUUUUUUAUUUUAUUGAUAAAUAAAUUUUUGGAAACCUUUUUGAAAUUGUUAGACUUGAAUUAAGGAUUAGUAGCCAGAGAAUGACUAAAUUUUUUAUCUUAGCCUCUUUUUAUUUUUAAUUAUAAUAAAUUAUUUGUGAAUUAUGAAUUUUUUAUUUAGUGAGGUGCAGGGUUGCUUUUCAGAGGAGCCGGGCAAGGGUAAGAGCUCAGAGAGUUACUGAGAGAAUUGCAAACUGCAGACAACUACAAGUUUCUUCCCAUACAAGAUGCCAUGAAGUGUAUCAAUCAAACAGUGAACAUAACGGGCAUUAUAGCAGAGUUUAGCUUGCCAAAGCGAAGUAGGGGCACUGGUGAACUUUCCAUUUGAAGGAUCCUGCUGUUUAAACAUUGCAUAUGAUGUUACAAUUUUGGAUCUCCAAUGGAGCAAGGAUCAUUCAAAAUUCACUUUUUUCUUUUAAAUUCAUGUUGAAGUUUACAAAGUGUUUGGAGAGUGAAGUUUGGUUGGUUUAGACUUAGACUGGUAAUGAUGAAUCAAAGGCCGGACUUACAGCUGCCAUUUAGUUCGCUGGUAGUAGAUUGACGAUUUUUUUUCUUUAAGAUUUCUAUUGUACCUCAAGAAUAAUUGAUGAAUCAUGUGAGAAACCUGGGCUGCUCGUUAAUAUUUUUGCUGAAAGCUCGCAACAGCUUCCUAAUGUUGUAGGAAGAGGAGACAUAGUUCAGCUUUUUAAUGUCAUGAUUCUUAUGGCUUUCCAAUGUUAAGAGAAACCAAGGAAGGAGAUUGCUGCAGUCUGGCAUGCAAGGUUGCAGUUAAGCUCCAUUGGAGUAUCUACAGGUCUAGAACCUAACAUACCAGUUUCUUUGAGGGGAUGCAGACUAUAUUUUCUCUAUGUGACAUUAAUGCCCUUAGAUGACUGAGCUACUUCCAAUCCAAGGAAUUACCUCAGGUGGUCAAGAUCUUUAAUGUUGAAUUCUGCAAAAGUCGAUGGUCUUUCCACAAAUUGCAGGUUAGAAGAUGAACUGCACAAUCCUCUUCCCUUACAUCAUGAACUAGUGCCUAUGCCAAGAGGAUUGUUGUGUACUUUUGCUACCGUUGGGUCCAUCUUGAGAGUAGCGUAAGGCAAAAGCAUGGAGAAGAACCAUCUAAAACUUUUAGAAAAUGGCAAGUGGGUCACAUUUUUCAACAUGCGUCUUGAAGUGAAUGCAGGACUAUGGCAUGGCGUGUUGACUCCAUUACAAAGCUUCGGCCAUAUGGAAUGAUGAUAUCAUAAAACAGCACGAAACGUGGCUGUCCACUCUGUUGGCUCAUAAGACAAUUGGAUAUGUAGAUCAAUUAACUGAUGUUUCGAUUUGUUGUCUUUGUAUUCAUUUUUGAGAUAGUUUGUAUGGUGAUGCGAAUUUCUAAGAACCUGAGAAGGAUGCCUCUUUGGAGCUUUCCUUGGCCUUCACAUAUUACAGGUUCGUAUGUGCAUUUCAUUAUUGUUUUGUUUCAAUGCUAUGAUUAUCAAAACAAUAUUUUCUUGUACAA